rnacentral:lncRNA from 1 species
UGACAGAAAUGCACUUGCUCGUAUCGAGAAAACGCCGCUACUCCGAGGAGUUUCUUUCAUUCAAAAAGCUUAUUAUCUAACCGAAAGACAUGAAAAUGUCUCCGGAAGUUUAGACAAUAACACUUAAUGUCCGAAAUAAAACGUCCCAAGCUUUAGAUCCACUCUAUUUCUUUCUCAUCCCUGAAACAAAGAAACAAAAUCUCACUAUUAAUAAUUAAAAAUAUUAGUAAUUAUUAAAAUCUCAGCAUCAAUAUAAUUUUACAAGAUAUAAGAGAAGAAAUAAUAAAUAUCAAAAGAAAAUAGAAAUAAAAGAGAAAAAGAAAAAUCUAACCAAAGGGAGACCUUUGGUUAGAUACUUAAAAAUACUUCAAGGAUAUUUUCCUAUUUUUAACAAUUAUGAUGUACUUUUCACUUGGCCAAGUCUCAGUACAAUUUAACAAUGAAUCAUACAAUUAAAGUUUGACAAAUAUGCCUCAGUAUAUUAUCAAGCAGUUAAUCAAACUUAAUUAUACAGGUCCUGUGCGAUUUUUCUAUUGAAUGACUAAACAUUUUCUGAGAUUCUUUGUCUGAAUACUUAACCUCAUUCUCGACUCCUCAUGUCCCUAAUAUCCCAACAGUAUAUAUCCAUCUCUGUGGUUAACCUGAAGUAUAUCCCAAUCCAAAAUAAUGCAUCUCUCAGCAAUCAAUAAAAAUAAGAGUUCCAAAAUACAAGCAGCCAGAAUACCUAGACCAUGCAGCUCUCAAUCUAUAGUUAACAAUCAUGCUACCAUUUCCUGCAAACAUUUUUUGAGAACACCCAAUAAUUACUUGUAAAUUCAAGUCUAUAUCUAUUGUCAUAAUAGAUGUUAUAUACCUUAAGCUGGGCACACACAGUGACUCCAAAGUACAUAUUACUGGGGAAAGGUACAUUUCCUAUAUAAAUUAGGAGAAAGUUAAACUUCACUGCUUUGGAAGUAGUAUUCUCACCUAUCAGUUAUGUUAAGUUAAAGAAUUUUUAUUCCUAAAUUUGCGAUCUCUCCUAAUAAGUUAAUAAGAUACUAAUUUGAAUUAGCACCCUCUUUAGAGUAGUUCUUAUCGUGCCAGCCUGUCAUUGAUAAAGUUUUCAGUUCCACAGCAUGAUCAUGUUAUUUAAAACUAUGCAGUCUUCACUGCAAGAUUUAAGGAAUUCAAUUAUAAUUAUCAGAACUAAUAUCUAAUGGAAUAAGUUAAACCUUAUGAUCUGGUAUUAUUGGAUACUUCUAUCAUGCUACUAAAUAUUAAUGCUAUGUUAUUAAUGUGUUAAAUAUAUAAACAGUCUAUUCAAAUUGCCUACUAUAAAUCUGUCAAAAAAGUGCAUGCUAUAAUUAAGGAUUUGACCAAUCUUGCCAAUCCGUGAAAUCCUCCAGGCUAAAAAGAAAUUAAUUUCUAUGCUAUUGAUGUGUUAAAUAUAUAACCAAUUUAUUCAAAUUGCCUACUAUAAAUCUGUCAAAAAAAGAGCCUGCUAUAAUUAAGGAUUUGACCAAUCUUGCCAAUCCGUGGAAUCCUCCAGGCUAAAAAUGAAUUAAUUUAUAUUUGAACAAUCAUGUUACUUAUUAUUAGGAAUAAUCCGUGAAAAACUAUAAAUCUAUCAGGAGUAAAACAACCAUCAGCAUUCCCGUUUAUACAUAGCAUUGCAUUCUAACUUAACAGUAAUACCGGAAUAAUAGGGGAGAGAAGACAAGUGGGAAAUAAACACAAGACAAGGUAGAAAUCUAUAACCGAUCACAAUAGCAACAUCAACUUAACACUUCUCAGCAUAUGAAGGAUAAAAUAAGAAUAUACCUCGUCUUACUGUUGUAUCUGACCCUUCAGAGAGUUAAACAGGACAUUUGCUGUAAUCGUUCUUUGACACUGUAAGAGAGAGUUCCCUCUUCACUGCUUCUCCCCCUGCCAUGAGUCAUCUCCGC